rnacentral:rRNA from 1 species
GAUGAACGCUGGCGGCGUGCCUAAUACAUGCAAGUCGAGCGAACGGACGAGAAGCUUGCUUUUCUGAUGUUAGCGGCGGACGGGUGAGUAACACGUGGAUAACCUACCUAUAAGACUGGGAUAACUUCGGGAAACCGGAGCUAAUACCGGAUGAUAUUUUGAACCGCAUGGUUCAAAAGUGAAAGACGGUCUUGCUGUCACUUAUAGAUGGAUCCGCGCUGCAUUAGCUAGUUGGUAAGGUAACGGCUUACCAAGGCAACGAUGCAUAGCCGACCUGAGAGGGUGAUCGGCCACACUGGAACUGAGACACGGUCCAGACUCCUACGGGAGGCAGCAGUAGGGAAUCUUCCGCAAUGGGCGAAAGCCUGACGGAGCAACGCCGCGUGAGUGAUGAAGGUCUUCGGAUCGUAAAACUCUGUUAUUAGGGAAGAACAUAUGAGUAAGUAACUGUGCACAUCUUGACGGUACCUAAUCAGAAAGCCACGGCUAACUACGUG